GAGAGUUUGAUCCUGGCUCAGAACGAACGCUGGCGGCGCGCCUAAUACAUGCAAGUCGAGCGAGAAGGUGUAGCAAUACACUUGUAAAGCGGCGAACGGGUGAGGAAUACAUGGGUAAUCUACCAUCGAGUGGGGAAUAACCAGCCGAAAGGUUGGCUAAUACCGCGUACGCCUCCGGAUCUUCGGGUUCGGAGGGAAAGCCACACUGUGAGUGCGGCGCUCUUUGAUGAGCUCAUGUCCUAUCAGCUUGUUGGUAGGGUAACGGCCUACCAAGGCUUUGACGGGUAGCUGGUCUGAGAGGACGAUCAGCCACACUGGCACUGCGACACGGGCCAGACUCCUACGGGAGGCAGCAGUAAGGAAUAUUGCGCAAUGGGCGAAAGCCUGACGCAGCAACGCCGCGUGAGGGAUGACGGCCUUCGGGUUGUAAACCUCUUUCAGCAGGGAAGAAGCGAAAGUGACGGUACCUGCAGAAGAAGCACCGGCUAACUAC
rnacentral:rRNA from 1 species